AGAACACUGAAUAGCUGUGGCAUUUCUGGUCACCAGGAAAACCCCUGCAUGGGAUAUUAACAACAAUAGAUCGCAUGCUGUGUCCGGUGCUGUUUUAUUUACACACAUAAUUGGCUCAGAUUUGGGGUUUGUUUUCUUGUCCAGCUGUCCAUGCCGGAUGCUUCUUUAGUAGGUUGGCUCAACAGUCUCCAGUAAUCAGCAGGACUCUAACACAGGAUGGGCGUCUUUCUCCUGAGUAAAAGAAAGCACAGCAUGAAAGGCAGGGAGGGGGAGGGAGAGGAGAGGAGAUGGGAGGGGAAGGAAGAGAAGAGGAGGGCAGGGGGAAGAGGAGGGGAGAAGAGGAAAAGUCCAGGAGAGGGCAUUAAGCUUGGAGGCAAUGCAUAUACUUGGGAUCCAACGAUUAAAAUCCAUAAAGAGGAGCAAAUCGAGUAAAGAGGCAAACACAGAGAGACAGGGGUAGGGUGAGCUGAGACUAUUUUAGUUCCUGGUCUCAGACUUACAAGGGAAGCAGAGGUGACUGCAUUACUCAGGAGUAGCUGGACCUGAGUCAGCACUGUGGAAGGACCACCUUAGAAGUCCCUGAGACAUUAGAAUGUCUUUGCCACCUGGCAAUAGGUGAUAUGGAGAUGACUACCAGUGGAUUUUAGCUAUGUAGAACAAGACGCUAGGCACAGGGAGAGAGUUGGCAUGGUUUGAAGGGGACUUUGUUAUCAGGCCUAUACAGUGUGGAUUCUUGAACCCUUAUCUGCAACCAACGGUAAAAGGGAGGGCUUCAUCCAAGUACAGAAACACCCAAACUGCCUUUCCCAAGCCUCCUCAGCUAACUGCUCAAUGGGUUCCUUCUCGUAUCCUUUCUCAGUAGCUCUUGUCAGAGUCAGCAGGCAUGCCUACACAGGCGUCUCUAUACACAGAGAGCAGAAAGCCCUUCCUGGAGUGCUGCGCAUUCAGGUGCAGCCAGACACAGAGCUCUUCCCUUAAUAUCCACUCCGUCCUUCACAUAAGUCACACAGACCUCUCAGCUCCAUUGUUCCAGGUUGCUGCUACUUGAGGUGGCAUCUCGUCCUAAGUAGCGGCUGCAAGGGAGUGUCCAGAAUCCUAAGAAGCUGGUUAAGACAUCCCCGGGGCUGUCCUUGUUGCAACCCUUGCUUGGGUCAUCAACUCCCUUUGUGCAUCAAGAACAUCACCUUUGAAGUGGGUGCAUAUGAAGUUAGUUUAUCAUAAGUGUUAAGUGGGUCAAAGGAUAUAAGACGGUCGUGCAAGACCCAGGAGUCUGUGCUUCCCAGCGACCCUGAACUGUGUUGGAAAAUCAUAACUUCAUGUCGUGAAACUCUAAUAAUUUUUAGCACGGAGCCCACAUUUUCCUUUUGCACUGGACUCUAUAAAUUAUGUAUCCAGUCCUGGAGGGGGUUUAAACACAAAACAACGUUUACUGUUGAUAACAAUUAUUAAAGGCUGUGGAGAGGUUACUUUCUUUUCAGGACUGGAAUGCUGAGAUAGUACAGAAUUCUUACCUCCCUGCACUCUCAUCCAAGACUCCUGAGGCUCCAGAGAACUCAGCCAUCAUCCCCAGACCCAAGAUUCUUCUGUGCAAACUUCAGCUGGUCCUUUCUUCAUCAGGGUGUCUUGACACUGACCUUCCAGAUACUAGUCCCUUCUAAGCCCCACUGCUGCUCUGCACCUGUUGAAAGCGCACUUCUCUGAGUGGUCGGGCAGCACUGCCCCUAGCGGAAGUUGGAAGCAUGAAACUUCCAUUCAGGAAGUCGGUAGAGCCCCUGCCACCUGCUCCUGCUGCCUCCUUUCAUCCUGUCCUCAACCUCCAACAGCAUCUUAGCUGUCAGUCCUGGGUGAGAACUCGGAUCAGGGCUGCUCCUGGCAGAGCAGGGUAGACUUGGGGGCUUCGAGAGGGGGAGUGGGAUUUCUCAGUGGGGUAAGCAAGCCUUUGAGGCUGGGCCCAGCCUUUAUUUAAAGAGAGGACUGUGUAUAGACCUGUGUGGCUCUCUCUCUCUCUCUCUCUCUCUCUCUCUCUCUCUCUCUCUCUCUCUCUCUCUCUCUCUCUCUCUCUCUCUCUCUCUCCUCUUUCUCUCUCUGUCCCUCUACAUACUAUAUCACGAAGCAGGUCUGUCACCAUGUGUCAGUGUGGGCAAGAUGAUAAGCUGCUGACAGAAGCCCUAUAUGGAGGUAGUACGAACAUCCUUGUCAUUAGGCUUGUGACUCAAAUUGUGUGUGUGUGUGUGUGUGUGUGUGUGUGUGUGUGUGUGUGUGUGUGUGUGUUUAUUUCUGAGUGGAUUGUGGCAUGGUGAGUGAGGUGAAUGUGCUCACCUCUACAUGGGACAGUCAUCCAGUGUGUGUGUGUGUGUGUGUGUGUGUGUGUGUGUGUGUGUGUGUGUGUGUGUGUGUGUAUUAGUGGUACAAACUGCGUGGUUGUGUAUGUGUGUACCUGCCGGUGUUCUAGCCUGUUUCUGAGUGAGUGGAGCAGAGCCCGCAGAGUACGUGAGUGUGGGUGUCUGGUGAUUCAGUGUGUAUUUGUAUCAGCCACUGUGCGUCUGCCACCACGUCUGCAUCUAAGUGUGGUGGCGUACUGCCGUGAGUGGCAAUACCCAAUGUGUUCAUGUGUGUGUCUGGUGUGAGCACCAUGGUGUACGCUAGAGCCAGAGAGGCUGCAAUACUAGGCUGGGCGGGUGCAGCAUCUUGUCUUGGCAGUGGCGAGUAGCCGGUGUGACCCGCGGUGUGUGCCUUGUCUCACAGGCCAGGACAGAUCACGCCCUCCCCCUCCGGGGACUAUGAAGCCACGACCCUUCCAGGGAGCCAAAGAGCGGGGCAUACGCCGGAGCCUCUAGGACCCGGCGGAGGCCGGCCGCUGUCCCCGGGCCGCGCGAGUGAGCAUGUGCAGACCGGGCGCCCGUUCGCCCGCUCCGCGCCCGCCGCCCGCUCCACUCCGCGCCCGCGGCUCAGCUCGGCGCCCGCCGCUCUGCCACUGAUCAGCGUGGAAGUCCGCAGCCGGGGGGAGCUGUGCGGCGUGGGCCUGGGCGCGUUGGUGUGGUCGCCACUAGCGCCGGGGGCGUGCGGGCGUCUGGGCUCCGGGCACUGAGAGGCUGCGGGCUCGGCGCCCCAGAAGGCGGGCGCCCCAGCCGGCCACGAUCGCGGGGUGAGUCCUGUCUCCGGGGUUCCCCAGCCAGGACCCCGGCGCAGGCUGCGACCUGGAUCUACCCCAGCCGCGGGCAAACAAGUUUGUGUAGACACGACUGGGAGCGCGCGGGGCUGCACCUGCUGGGGCGCGGGGCGCGCUGGUGGGGCGCCUUCUCCGGGCCGGUGCUCGGCGCGCCAGGACCGUGGCGGAUGUGUGGGGAGCGCCUUGCCACGUCUGGGGUUGGCUGAGGGUGCACAAGCAGUUGCACCAGCCGCGUCUCUGCCAAGAGCUAGGGUACACCGGGUCCGAGACCCGGCGGGGCUGAGAACAGGAUUUGUUUGAGGUGCGCACUGCCUCCCUCCUAGGUGGAGAUAUUCGCCAGAAGCGGCUCCCCCUCUCUCGUUCCGUUCCCCAGCCAGGCUUCCGGUCAGCGCAGGGUUUUCUCCAGUCUCUUGGUGAACUUGAACACAGGCAGAGAUAAAACCGAAACAGCCAGAACUGACGUGAGGAAAGAGGCAGGAAGCUUAUUGGUCACACGUUCCAGGAGCAGAUGGUUUGGCUGUGAAUACUGACUGUCUCCGAUCAUCUAGGCA
rnacentral:lncRNA from 1 species